GCGGGGCCGACACUUCUUUCUAGUUCAUGCCUGGCUCUUGCUGCUUUUGUGGAGGGAUGAUGUGCCAACGUGUCCUCCUUCAUGAUCUUCAGUGACAUCAUUUUUGCCACCUGAUUUUUGCACUUCUAGAAAUAAUCACAUUUCUUUGCAAUGUUCCUUCUACAACAGGCAUGUAUGAAGUCAUAGAGUGAUAUCACAAGGAAUGACACCUCUGGCAGGCAAGGACUUGGAAAUAUGUGUUCAUUUUCAAUCCUUUUCACUGUCUGUGUUGAAAUAGCUUAGUCAUAUGUAAAACAUCUAAAUUAGAUUGAAUUAUACUUCAGUUUUUGUUUAUGCUUGGCUAACA
rnacentral:lncRNA from 10 species